GCAGUGGGGAAUAUUGGGCAAUGGGCGCAAGCCUGACCCAGCAACGCCGCGUGAAGGAAGAAGGCUUUCGGGUUGUAAACUUCUUUUCUGGGGGACGAACAAAUGACGGUACCCCAGGAAUAAGCCACGGCUAACUACGUGCCAGCAGCCGCGGUAAUACGUAGGUGGCAAGCGUUAUCCGGAUUUAUUGGGUGUAAAGGGCGUGUAGGCGGGAAUGCAAGUCAGAUGUGAAAACUAUGGGCUCAACCCAUAGCCUGCAUUUGAAACUGUAUUUCUUGAGUGCUGGAGAGGCAAUCGGAAUUCCGUGUGUAGCGGUGAAAUGCGUAGAUAUACGGAGGAACACCAGUGGCGAAGGCGGAUUGCUGGACAGUAACUGACGCUGAGGCGCGAAAGCGUGGGGAGCAAACAGGAUUAGAUACCCU
rnacentral:rRNA from 1 species